CUGCUGUCGCCGGAAAACUCUGCCGCUACCAUUGCCGAAGUCCGGGUCGCCGCUGCCAUUUGAGGUGGCUGCCGGGCUGCCGCCAAGCCGGUUCGGAGACCGUCGAUAUUUCGGUUCAGCCCUUCCUUCUUCGUUUGGUUAUUCCUUUUCAGAAUAUGGAAGACGAAGCUUCAGGAGAGUUAUGUUUAUUUUCUGUUUAUUCGGUCCUUUUGUAUUACCAUAGCUAUUGUUUUCCCUCGCCUUUAUCUUUAU